UCUGCUCUUUGGGCGAUCGCCCAGCACCUUCUUUCGCAGCUGCAGUAACCACUCGCGAAAUAUCAAUCGUGAUUAUCGAGUCUACGAAAAAAGGUGCUGGGAGGAACGUCCGGGCUUCAUAGGAACGCCAUGCGGGUAACGCCCGCCGCGGCGGUGCAUACUCCAUCCUUGUGGUGGACAAGACCGUCGUAGGACAAGUGUCACAGUGACGAUUCCCGCCUUCAAACGUGGGAGUGCAACGCCCCGGGAACCGGGGUCCAGCACCUUUCUCGUUCGUGUGCCAAAUGCUAGUUAACCCUGGCAUUCGCUCCAAACAUUCAGAAAGGUGCUGGAUGGUAAACUCUUGGUGAAGCAAGGAGGAUUUGGGUGCGCGGAAGCUGCCUUGGUUCCAAGGUACCGCAUACCCCUCCGCUCGAGCCGCGUAGUAAUACGUGGCCUAGAUAGAUGAUCGCCUCCUCCCCCGCACCUUUUUGGUCACUUGCGGCAGCGAGCUACUGAAGUUCAGUGGCGAGCAUCCACCUCACGCCAAAAAGGUGCUGGGGGGAAGACAAGACCCGGCGUAUAGAGGAGCAGCGAAU
rnacentral:RNase_P_RNA from 1 species